rnacentral:ncRNA from 2 species
UUGCUGUGCAGAGGGAGAGACUGGCCACGCGCCAGCGCCGAAGGAGCAACCGCCCCGGAAACUCUCAGGCAAAAGGACCCUGCACAGUAA